GUCAGGAUGGCCGAGCGGUCUAAGGCGCCAGACUCAAGGUAUGAAAUCUUGCUUUCUGAACGAAAGUGUUGAGCGUUCUGGUCCUCUCUGAGGGCGUGGGUUCGAAUCCCACUUCUGACA
rnacentral:tRNA from 1 species